rnacentral:rRNA from 1 species
GAUGAACGCUGGCGGCGUGCCUCAUACAUGCAAGUCGAGCGAACAGACGAGGAGCUUGCCUCUCUGUCGUUAGCGGCGGACGGGGGAGUAACACGUGGAUAACCUACCUAUAAGACUGGGAUAACUUCGGGACACCGGAGCUAAUGCCGGAUAAUAUAUCGAACCGCAUGGUUCAAUAGUGAAAGACGGUUUUGCUGUCACUUAUCGAUGGAUCCACGCCGCAUUAGCUAGUUGGUAAGGUAACGGCUUACGAAGGCAACGAUGCGUAGACGCCCUGAGAGGGUGAACAGCCACCCUGGAACUGAGACACGGGCCAGACGCCUGCGGGAGGCAGCAGCAGCGAAUCUUCCGCAUAGACGGACAGCCUGACGGAGCAACGCCGCUCGAGUGAUGACGGUCUUCGGGUCGUGAAGCUCUGUUAUGAGGGAAGACCAAAUGUGACAGGAAGGAAGCACGUCUUGACGGUACCGGAUCAGAAAGCCACGGCUAGCUACGUG